AUGAUGAUUUAGAUUUUAAUGUUUAUGGUUUAUACUGAUUAACCAUGACGAUAUUAUUCUAGGGCGGUCUGAUAAA